AGCGAACGCUGGCGGCGGGCUUAAGACAUGCAAGUCGCGCGAGAAAAUCUAGCAAUAGGUGAGUAAAGCGGCGGACGGGUGAGUAACACGUGAGUAACCUACCUCUCGGUGUGGGGACAACGUCCCGAAAGGGGCGCUAAUACCGCGUACGACCGCGAUGUUUUCGGACGUUGCGAGGAAAGACGGCCUCUCCUUGGAAGCUGUCGCCGAGAGACGGGCUCGCGUCCCAUUAGCUAGUUGGUGAGGUAAUGGCCCACCAAGGCAGAGAUGGGUAGCUGGUCUGAGAGGAUGAUCAGCCACACUGGAACUGAGACACGGUCCAGACUCCUACGGGAGGCAG
rnacentral:rRNA from 1 species